rnacentral:rRNA from 1 species
UACGUAGGGUGCGAGCGUUAAUCGGAAUUACUGGGCGUAAAGCGUGCGCAGGCGGUUUGUUAAGUCAGAUGUGAAAGCCCCGGGCUCAACCUGGGAACGGCAUUUGAAACUGGCAAGCUGGAGUGCGGCAGAGGGGGGUGGAAUUCCACGUGUAGCAGUGAAAUGCGUAGAGAUGUGGAGGAACACCGAUGGCGAAGGCAGCCCCCUGGGCCGACACUGACGCUCAGGCACGAAAGCGUGGGGAGCAAACAGG